UUGGAGGGCAAGUCUGGUGCCAGCAGCCGCGGUAAUUCCAGCUCCAAUAGCGUAUAUUAAAGUUGUUGCAGUUAAAAAGCUCGUAGUUGAAUUUCGGGAUCAAUGUUUCGGUCAUGCCGUUGGUAUGUACUGAUAUUAUUGAUUUCACACCUUCUAAAGAACCGUAAUGCCAUUAAUUUGGUGUCACGGGGAAUUAGGACUGUUACCUUGAAAAAAUUAGAGUGUUUAAAGCAGGCUCACGCUUGAAUACAUUAGCAUGGAAUAAUGAAAUAGGACAUCCGAUUCUAUUUUGUUGGUUUCUAGGAUCGAUGUAAUGAUUAAUAGGGAUAGUUGGGGGCAUUAGUAUUCAAUUGUCAGAGGUGAAAUUCUUGGAUUUAUUGAAGACUAACUACUGCGAAAGCAUUUGCCAAGGAUGUUUUCAUUAAUCAAGAACGAAAGUUAGGGGAUCGAAAACGAUCAGAUACCGUCGUAGUCUUAACCAUAAACUAUGCCGACUAGGGAUCGGAUGAUGUUAAUUUUUUAAUGACUCAUUCGGCGCCUUACGGGAAACCAAAGUGUUUGGGUUC
rnacentral:rRNA from 1 species